rnacentral:rRNA from 1 species
AUUGAACGCUGGCGGCAUGCUUUACACAUGCAAGUCGAACGGUAACAGGUUAAGCUGACGAGUGGCGAACGGGUGAGUAAUGCAUCGGAACGUGCCCGAUCGUGGGGGAUAACGCAGCGAAAGCUGCGCUAAUACCGCAUACGAUCUGAGGAUGAAAGCGGGGGACCGUAAGGCCUCGCGCGAUCGGAGCGGCCGAUGUCAGAUUAGGUAGUUGGUGGGGUAAAGGCUCACCAAGCCAACGAUCUGUAGCUGUUCUGAGAGGACGACCAGCCACACUGGGACUGAGACACGGCCCAGACUCCUACGGGAGGCAGCAGUGGGGAAUUUUGGACAAUGGGCGAAAGCCUGUUCCAGCAAUGCCGCGUGCAGGAAGAAGGCCUUCGGGUUGUAAACUGCUUUUGUACGGAGCGAAAAGGUCUCCUCUAAUACAGGGGGCUCAUGACGGUACCGUAAGAAUAAGCACCGGCUAACUACGUGCCAGCAGCCGCCGUAA